UACGUAGGGCGCGAGCGUUGUCCGGAUUUAUUGGGCGUAAAGAGCGCGUAGGCGGCUUGUCGCGUCGAAUGUGAAAACCUGCAGCUCAACUGCAGGAUUGCAUUCGAUACGGGCAGGCUCGAGUUCGGUAGGGGAGAGUGGAAUUCCUGGUGUAGCGGUGAAAUGCGCAGAUAUCAGGAGGAACACCGGUGGCGAAGGCGGGUCUCUGGGCCGAUACUGACGCUGAGGAGCGAAAGCGUGGGGAGCGAACAGG
rnacentral:rRNA from 1 species